rnacentral:rRNA from 1 species
UACGUAGGGUGCAAGCGUUGUCCGGAAUUACUGGGCGUAAAGGGCGCGCAGGCGGCUCUGAAAGUCAGAUGUGAAAGCCCCGGGCUUAACCUGGGAAUUGCAUUUGAUACUCUGGAGCUUGAGUACGGGAGAGGAGAGUGGAAUUCCCAGUGUAGAGGUGAAAUUCGUAGAUAUUGGGAAGAACACCGGUGGCGAAGGCGGCUCUCUGGACCGUAACUGACGCUGAGGCGCGAAAGCGUGGGGAGCAAACAGG